rnacentral:misc_RNA from 1 species
CCGAGUAUUGGGGUUCCUUUUGGGCCCCUACUCCCACACCAUGUGUACCUUACCUUACCGUUGCCUCGGCGAGCCGCCUUUACGGGCGCCGGGCCCCUUCGUGGGUCCGGAGAGCGCUCGCCGGAGGACCAACCAAAACUCUUUGUGUUAACCGACGCAGUCUGAGUAUAAUUCUUUGAAUUAAAUUA